UCAAUGGUGUCUCUUGACACCACCUACCUAUUCUGUUGAUCUGUUG
rfam:Picea glauca, whole genome shotgun sequence.